rnacentral:rRNA from 1 species
GCCUACGGGGGGCAGCAGUAGGGAAUCUUCCACAAUGGGCGAAAGCCUGAUGGAGCAACGCCGCGUGGGUGAAGAAGGUCUUCGGAUCGUAAAACCCUGUUGUUAGAGAAGAAAGUGCGUUAGAGUAACUGUUCACGUUUCGACGGCAUCUAACCAGAAAGCCACGGCUAACUACGUGCCAGCAGCCGCGGUAAUACGUAGGUGGCAAGCGUUAUCCGGAUUUAUUGGGCGUAAAGAGAACGCAGGCGGUCUUUUAAGUCUGAUGUGAAAGCCUUCGGCUUAACCGGAGUAGUGCAUUGGAAACU